rnacentral:tRNA from 1 species
GCGGUCGUGGCGGAAUUGGCAGACGCGCAAGACUAAGGAUCUUGUGUCCCACAGACAUGCAGGUUCGACCCCUGUCGACCGCA